AGCUUGCACAGGGGCAGUAUCUUAGCCAAUAAGGUUUAUCUAAGGCAUGAAUAUUGCUAAUUUAAAACUUCCUGAAAACCCCACCAUGAGGGCUUGAAAUACAGUCACCAAUGGCAACUUUUAACAAUCUCUUCAGGGA
rnacentral:snRNA from 1 species